rnacentral:lncRNA from 1 species
ACCUGGCUGAAGAGUCACUGCCAUACAACCGUCAAUCAGAUAACGAUCCAAUCCCAUCACAUAACGAUGUACCCUGUCUGCCAUAUCAGCCACAAUAGUAGGCGCAUGCCUAGCCAAUGAAUCAAACUCGAGGCUAUACUCUCGAACGCUCCUGCCAUUUUGCUUCAAACGCAAGAAUCUAUCGACUCUAGCUCGCUUCAUCUCUGGAGGCAGGAAGUGGCCCUGGAAAGCCUCCACAAAUUCAUCCCAUACCGCUGGAGGAGCACCCUCACCCUAGAUAACUCCCAAGGCUCAUACCAAUUAAUAGCUACAUCCCGCAAACGAUAUGUAGCCAACUCAACAGACUCGGUCUCCGAAGCCUUGAUUAUCCUCAAUGUACGCUGCAUCUGAUGAAUAAACUCUUGCGGAUCAUCCUGGGGCCUUGACCCAAAGAACUCUGGAAGAUUACAACUUAAGAAGUCACGAGCCCUUAAGCUAUCAGAUUUGUCCGCAUGAUCAACUCCUAGUCCAUGCCUGCGAGCCUGAUCUGCCACUAAUCUAGUCACCAAUUGAACCGCAUCUCUCAUGGCCCUAUCCUCCGCCCCUGACUGAGAAGCUGGAGGUUCAGAUGUUGGGGCCUCGGGGGCUGGUGGUGUCCCCCGAACUGGAGCUGCUGCUGCUCUAAGCUCUUCUGGCGGUGGGAGUGUAGCAGAGCUCUCCGACUGGAGCAUAAUACCAGGCAUAGACUGGGCACGGGCCCUAGUAACUCUUCGGGUCUGACUAGUACCUUCUGCUACCGAUUUUCCCUUCUGGGCGGCUAUUGCUUUCUUUGGAGGCAUAGCUGAAAACACACGGAUUCGUUAGAGAGGGAUUAUCCUGUUAAUAUAGCUCUAUCGCACGAUCUAGAAUAAGAAGAAAGAAUGACAUCCUAAAUGUCCUGUAGCUUCCUGUUUAUAGAUGUGGUGCACAACACACCGAUAAACAAGACUCUACUAGACAUGGUCUGUAGACACUUCCAAGGAAGAACCGCUCUGAUACCACUCUUUGUCACGACCCAACCCGAUGGGCCGUGACUAGUGCCCUUUUUGGACAACCACAUACAAACCUGCUAAGUAUAACCAACUGAAACUAAGACAAUAUGGAAUUUAAUCAAAUCAAGCCAACCCCAACGUCAUAUAUAUAUAAGAGGACCUGUCUCAUAAGGAGUCAUAACCAUUCAACCAUAACAACAUACGCGAGCCGACAAGGCCGCCACUAUUCAAAGCAUAAUAACAUACGUAUGCCGAUAAGGCUGCCACUACACAAUACACAAUGAUGUACGCAGCUGACAAGGCUGCCCCUGUACAAGCGAACAUCCCAAACAAACCAUGUCCAGACCAUUAUCCAAAACAUAUAUAUAUAACCCACAUAAUGUCCAAAGACCUCUAAGAGUACAUUAGUGAAACUCGACGGGACAGGGCCCCGCCAUACCCAUAGACGAGCAAAAGACUACACAAAAGUUAUGUACCAAAACGACUGGGCUCCGGAACAGUGGAGCUCUCCCAAUCAGCAGAGUAGAUAUCCUAGGCGGGAGGAUCACCGAACUGUGUGUCUACACCUGCAGGCAUGAAACGCAGCCCCCCGAGGAAAGGGGGUCAGUACGGACAAUGUACUGAGUAUGUAAAGCAUAAGGUAAAGAUGCCAGGAUACCAAUAUGGCAAGUCGAAACAAAAUAUCGCUACACAUAUACCCUUUUAAGUGAAAAUCAUGCAUAUAUUUAACAUUUAAGGUGCCCAGCUUCCCUAGUAUGGGGCUCGGCAAAAUAAUCAUCACGUCAUCUCCGUCAUCAUCAUCAUCAUAACCAUCCUCAUCACCAAUCAUAUAUAUAUAAUAUACAUACCAGGCCCUCUAGUGAGGAACUCGGUGACAUAUGCAAGAAACUCCGCACGAACAUUACCCGACCUGGGACUCGGUGAAAUGAUAAAUGACUCUAUGCACGAGCAGAAUAUUAUGAGCAACCAUAUGCAAUUAAAAUCAUUUCUUAUAACUCAAUAGAACAAUCAACGUGAACCAGCAAGGAGUAUUACCAAUGAUUAAUGUUUUAUCAAGAUUAUGAACCUUUAAUACGAUAUGGAAACGUAAAAUCUCAAUGACUCUAAGAAGCAUUACCAUAGAUAUUAGAGAUCAUCAUAGCCUUAGACAUAGCCGAUAUAUAGAGGAAUAAUUGUGGAAGCAAGAAUAUACGUCACCUAGACGCUCUAGAGGUAAGUAUCAAAUCUGUCCGUUAUUCGCUUAUUUUUAAAAGUCAUGCCAACCAAUGAAAGAAGGGACAGCGUUACAUACCGUAUAAUCGAGCCGCACGUCCAAUAUUUACUGCUCAAGCUAUUAAUCUAUAACAAGCAACAAUCGUGCCGCAAUUAGAUAAACAUCGUGCUUUACUUUCUUGUAAGCUAGCUAAUAAUCUAACAAAAAUUCGGCAGCACCUCCCCAUCCUUACUUCGACCCAAUCCGACAACAAUCCAAAUUAUCCACAGCAAUACCAAUAACACAUAUAACCCAAAGAAUCAUAUUAAACAGCCCCCUCUCCAAAAUAGUUCCGUCUCGGCAACCAUAGCAACGACACACCGAGUGAUAACUCGUUUUAUAAUUCCCAACACAUCUACCUUAUCGUAUUCAUCCUUUGGAGUAUAUACUCAUAAUCACAUUCAACAUAUACAUAAUGCCAAAAUAGAAUUUUCCUGCAGUUUGCUUUAAUCAAAACAGCCCAAGCACCAACACGACACCACUAAUAAUCCAAUUAUGGUUUCCAUUCAUGCUUAGCACAUUCAAUAACUAAAACAAACUUCCUAAGCUACUGGUCACGCCCCCUACUUAAAAUUAAUGGAUAAUUAACAAGGGUAUUCUAAAGAAUUAACACACCAAACAAGGAGAUUACUAACCAAAUUAUUUGCAGCUGCUGGCCAAAAGUUGCAGGGUUGGUUUCUCCAUUUCCAUGGCUGCCUAAGACAAUUGGUAAAGAAGAAGAUGAUAUGCAGCAAUGCAUUUCACCACUUUAUUUAGCAUGGAGUGGAUUUCUCCACCUCAUUUAAUAGUAUGAAGUGGAGGCAGCCCCCCUCUACACCUGUCCACUAAGGCCAGCCCACAAUCUGAUCCCUUUUUAAUUUUUUUCCUUGAGUGGUGGGGCCCACUGGAUUAAAUUAAUCCUAAUCAGCCACCAAUUAUGAGUGGUGGGGCCCAUUUGAUUAAAUCAAUCCAAAUUAGCCACUAAUUAAUCCCUCACUUAAAGUUAAUGGCACUUACAUUAGCCAACUCAUACUUAAUAUCACAUUUGAAAAUAACAUCCUUGCCUAAUAUUUCUUUACGUCUUCUAGAUCACGAUGCGCACUACGUAUAAAAAAAAUAUGAGGCAUAACAAAAUUUGUAUUGGCACUUGCCUCUGGUGGAGUUUUCUUUCAAACAACCUAGAGUCAGAAAUGUAAUAUGCCGAUCAUAUGAGAAAUAAAUAAGAUUUUGAAAAAGGUGAUAGAGUGUAUCUAAAUAUUUUGCCUAUGAAAGGGGUGGUGAGAUUUGAAAAGAAAGGGAAGUAAAGUCCUAGUUUUGUUGGUCCCUAUUUAAUCUUGUAAAAGAUUGUUAAGUUUUCAUAAGACUUGAGGUUGCCUAUUGAAUUUUCUUUUAUUCAUCCUAUAUUCCAUGUUUUAAUGCUUAAGAAGUGUAUCAGUUAUCUAUAGUCAAUUAUUUCUAUUGAGGGUCUUGGUGUACAAGAGAACCUCUCGAAUGAGGAGGUUCCGAUUGUAAUACUUGAUCUCCAAGUGAAGAGGUUGAGUUUUGUCAUAAUUGACUCAUAUCUAUACGGUAUGUUGAGCUCAUGUUAUUGUGACAAGGGAAUUCCUCAUACUUUGAUGAUGAGCUUUAUGUGCAUUCGUUGAAGUCUUGCUAUGUAUAAAGGCCAUGAUUUAUGUUGUAAUUCAUUUUAUAAUGUAUUCUAGAUUGGUUGGGCUGCUAGUAUUGUGUCUAUUCCUUCCUUCCAAAAGAUUUUAGUGUCAUUCGGGGGCUAAUGUUCCUAAGGGGGGAAUAAUGUAAUACUCUGAAAGUCUAGGACGUGUUCUAGAGACAAACAUAGCUUUAAAAAGGUUUAAACACUAUUUUAAGGUCAUAAAUAAUGAAUAAAUGUCAUUUAGGAAGUUUAGGAAUCAAGACGUCGAGGAACGUCCAUGUAGUCCGGAAAAUAGUUCAAUGAGGUGCUAGUGUGUCAUAGCCUAUUUGACUAAGCUUUAGGAGUUGGAGAAUGAUAAAUCUUUGUGGAAGGGUGUCUAAUAUGUAUAAGAGUCAAUUCAUAGUCGAAACAUCCGGGGUACGACUGCCCAAGGACCAACCAAGGGCCCUUGAGGAGGACCCUUGCAAUUGUGUCGAAGGCUACGUAACAUAGUUUCCACAAAGGAAUUGCCAUAAACGGAUCGUGGAUGGGGAGUAGAUUGUGUAUAUGUAUAGACAAUUAGAAUAUUUUAAAAAUACUGGAUUUUAACUAGUCACUGACCUAAAUGAUGGAGCAACAGGACGGAGGGUCAAGUGGUCGUCUAUUGACACACGAGGCGUCAAAGUGGUCUUGUUUGUGAGACCACAUGUUUUGCUGCUCAUUUUUAUUUUAGUAAAAUUAAUUUAUUAGGCGGUUAAUUAAUUGGUAAGGGGUUAAGGGAGGUCUAAUUAUGUUUGCUAAUGACCUAUAUAAAGACCCUAACCUAAUUAGACUAACCUUGCCCUCAUAAUUUCCCAAACCCAAUUUCUCCUCCUUCUCUCUUCUUUCUCUCUCCCAUGUUGAAGAACACCAUAGAAGGUCAAAUUCAAGAGGUUCUAGGGAUACUUAAGACCAUUUUUAUCCAUCAAUCAUCAUUAAAUAUGAAGAUAUGUAAUUCUCUUUUCCAUCCAAUACGAAAUUGAUCUUCUGAAUUGGUUUGUUUAUGAUUUAUUUGGAUAUUAUGAAUCUAUUAACAUGUAUUAUAACUCAAUUCUGUUAUUUCUCAAUUGAUUGUUCUAUUUUGUAGAAAAUUAUCUAUUCCCUUUCACCCUGGGUUCUAAUCUUGAAUUGAAUUAAUUAGUAUUUAUAUAAUUGUGUUGGUUGAUGUGUGAAUUACAAUCCUAUGAUGUAUUGUGACAAUUAAUGAGAAUAUUGUGAUUAAUUGUAGUCCUACCAUACUAGUUUCUUGGGAAAUUGACAUUUAUUAUGAAGUAGGUUAUAAACUUGAUCUAACUCUCUAAUUCUUGGCUAUAAACUAGUGAUGAGUUGUUGUAUAAUAAUUAAAUUCUUCUUGUUACUAUGUUGAUAAUUAUGGUGUGAUGAAAUUACACCCAUUGUUAGGUUUAGUUGAGGGUCAAUGACAACACCUUGAUGAUGGCAUUGUGAAGGAGAUUUAGUAAGUCAUGUGAUCUCUAUUCUUUACUUCAAUUAUGGUUACUUGUUAUUAAAUGAUGGUGUUAUAUUGAAGUAUACCUUAUAUGAAGAUAGAUAGUGUUGGUAUUAUGUUUAACUGAAAUGUCUUGAUUAUGUAAUUGUGAGAUUAUGCUUAAGAUGUAAUGCUAUAAGGUUGGUGAGGAAGUACAUAUGUGCCUUAAUAUGAUAUAAUGAUGUUAAUAUGCUAAUCUCACAUGUGAGGGUUGUAAUGAAAGGUGUUCUCAUGCUAUAAAUAUUGAGCUAUGAUGAUUAUUAAUAUUUAAGGGAUAGAUCUUAUGACCUACAUUAAAUAUGAUGAUUAAUAAAGGUAUGAAAGAUAUUUAAAAUAGGACUCUAGCUUAGCCCCGAGUGAACUAGAAUGAGGAAUGUCCCUUCCUAAAUAGGGAAGGUAGGAUCACUAAUGUACUCUUGAGAUUGAAGACUACAAUGCAUGUAGAAGGAAGAGGGUCCAAACUAUAUCUCCUAGUUCUUGAACUAUGUUUCCCCCAUAGGAACACUAGCUAGUGGAUCCUCGUAGUUGCUGCGUUCUCUUUUUGAAUUUCCUUGGCGAGUAGUAAAUAUUCCUUCAUUGUAGGGUUCUAUGACAUCGAAUUCCACAUUGGCUCAUGUGAUCUAUGUGGAUUUAGGCAAGAUAUUCAAAAAAUAAAAUAAACUAAUAAAAUUUACUCUAACUAAGAUAACUUAAUAUUUGUUACUUAGUGUAGGUAGGGUAUGAGUCUCUACCUAUACAUUGUACAAGAUAAGAUUAUGGGAAGUCAUAGAAGGAUGUUCUUAUGAAUGUAUAUGCUUAUAAAUAUAAAAUAUGUAUGUGUAUAUAUGUGUGUAUAUAUAUAUUUAUAUAUAUAUAUAUAUAUAUAAGUAUGUCUUAUUGAUUGGUAUGGUCUUCUUGUAUGUGCAUAAAGUUUUUUCAAUGAUAAUUUCACACUUAAAUGAAAUGCCUCAUUCGAGCAUGAUUUGAUGUUAUAUGUGUAUAUGGUCGCAUACUUAGAACACAUGAUUUACUAACCCCUUUUUUCUCCCCUUUUCCCCAACAUUUUAAGUUCUACUUGUUGAAGGGAUUUUGAGACAACUUUGAAGAAAGACUCGGAAUUCUCAUUCAUCCAAGUUGGGUAGGUCCUCACUUUAGGAGGGGAAUGCCACUAUUAAGCUAUUGAUGUUGUUCUAGUCUUAAAGACAAUAUGUUCAUUUCAUUCAUUUGAGUACUAAAGUUUGUAUAGCCUAUAUGUGGCUCAUAUUGUAUUGUUGUAUAGGCUACACCCUAAAUAAAAGUAGAAGACUAAGUAAACUUCAUAUACGAAGGUUCUAUGUAUACUCUAUAUGAAUAUAUAAUUUAUGUGUGGUAGAGGUCUAUGUAAACCUCAAGAUUUAAAAAGAAAUGUUUUAAAUUUUUUUGAAAAUUGUAACCAAUGAAUGUAAUGAUGUAAGCUCAGAGGCUACUCUUAGUUCUCAAAGAGGACGACGGCGCCGGUUAUGUCUAGGAGAUACUCUCCGGAUGUGACAAAAUGUCAUGUUGUUAUGUUUAUUUGAGUAGUAACUCAUGAUGAUUGUGUAUGUUGUGGGUUGGGCUUCUAGUAUUGAAUCUAUCCUUUCCUUCCAAAUGUUUUAGUGUCAUUCGGUGACAUGUGUUUCUUUGGGGGGUGGAUAUUAUAAGACUUCGAAAGUUCAAGACCUAAUAUAGAGACUCACAAGAGUUUCUAAGGGUCGUAACAUUGUUUUAAAGUCAAACAUAAUAUUUAUAAGUCGUUUAGGAAGCUUUAGCAUCAAAAUGUAAAGAAAUGUCCAUGACGUCCGGAGAAUUGUGAAAGAGGUGCUAGUGUACCUUGCUUAUAAAAUUUUGUGGAAAGGUUUCAAACUAGUAUUCUAAUAUAUUUAGGGUCGAAACGUCCGGGUAUGACUCCUUAAGGAUAUCCUAAGGGUCGUUGAGGAGGACGCUUCCAUUUUGGCAAAAAGAUAUCAAAAUGCACUGGCUACCUACGCUUGCCAUUAACGGGUAAUAGGCCAAUCUAUGGGGUGUCGAUGCCUCCGUCGAUGUACACUUAGGAAAAAUUAAAAAAGGUCCAAUGUGAAUAGUCUCUAGCCAAGAUGAUGGUUGUGCAAGACGGUGGGGGAAGUGUCACGACCCAACCCGAUAGGCCGUGAUUAGUGCCCGUUUUGGACACCCACAUACAAACCUGCUAAGUAUGACCAACUGAAACUAAGACAAUAUGGAAUUUAAUCAAAUCAAGCCAACCCCAACGUCAUAUAUAUAUAUAAGAGGACAUGUCUCAUAAGGAGUCAUAACCAUUCAACCAUAACAGCAUACGCGAGCCGACAAGGCCGCCACUAUUCAAAGCAUAAUGAUGUACACAGCCGACAAGGCUGCCCCUGUACAAGUGGACAUCCCAAACAAACCAUGUCCAGACCAUUAUCCAAAACAUAUAUAUACAACCCACAUAAUGUCCACAGACCUCUAAGGGUACAUUAGUGAAACUCGACGGGACAGGGCCCCGCCAUACCCAUAGACGAGCAAAAGACUACACAAAAGUUAUGUACCAAAACGAAUGGGCUCCGGAACAGUGGAGCUCUCCCAAUCAGCAGAGUAGAUAUCCUAGGCGGGAGGAUCACCGAACUGCGCGUCUACACCUGCGGGCAUGAAACGCAGCCCCCCGAGGAAAGGGGGGUCAGUACGAACAAUGUACUGAGUAUGUAAAGCAUAAGGUAAAGAUGACAGGAUACCAAUGUGGCAACUCGAAACAAAAUAUCGCUACACAUAUACUUUUUAAAUGAAAAUCAUGCAUAUAUUUAACAUUUAAGGUGCCCAGCUUCCCUAGUAAGGGGCUCGGCAAAAUAAUCAUCACGUCAUCUCCGUCAUCAUCAUCAUCAUAACCAUCCUCAUCACCAAUCAUAUAUAUAAUAUACAUACCCGGCCCUCUAGUGAGGAACUCGGUGACAUAUGCAAGAAACUCCGCACGAACAUUACCCGGCCCGGGACUCGGUGAAAUGAUAAAUAACUCUAUGCACGAGCAGAAUAUUAUGAGCAACCAUAUGCAAUUAAAAUCAUUUCUUAUAACUCAAUAGAACAAUCAACGUGAACCAGCAAGGAGUAUUACCAAAGAUUAAUGUUUUAUCAAGAUUAUGAACCUUUAAUACGAUAUGAAAACGUAAAAUUUCAAUGACUCUAAGAAGCAUUACCAUAGAUAUUAGAGAUCAUCAUAGCCUUAGACAUAACCGAUAUAUAGAGGAAUAAUUGUGGAAGCAAGAAUAUACAUCACCUAGACGCUUUAGAGGUAAGUAUCAAAUCUGUCCGUUAUUCGCUUAUUUUUAAAAGUCAUGCCAAGCAAAGAAAGAAGGGACAGCGUUACAUACCGUAUAAUCGAGCCGCACGUCCAAUAUUUACUGCUCAAGCUAUUAAUCUAUAACAAGCAACAAUCGUGCCGCAAUUAGAUAAAUAUCGUGCUUUACUUUCUUGUAAGCUAGCUAAUAAUCUAACGAAAAUUCGGCAGCACCUCCCCUAUUUUCCUUACUUCGUCCCAAUCCACAACAAUCCAAAUUAUCCACAACAAUACCAAUAACACAUAUAACCCAAAGAAUCAUAUUAAACAGCCCCCUCCCCAAAACAGUUCCAUCUCGGCAACUAUAUCAGCGAAGCAACGACACACCGAGUGAUAACUCGUUUUAUAAUUCGUAACACAUCUACCUUAUCGUAUUCAUCCUUUGGAGUAUAUACUCAUAAUCACAUUCAACAUAUACAUAAUGCCAACAAAGAAUUUUCCUGCAGUUUGCUUUAAUCAAAACAGCCCAAGCACCAACACGACACCACUAAUAAUCCGAUUAUGGUUUCCAUUCAUACUUAGUACAUUCAAUAACUAAAACAAACUUCCUAAGCUACUGGUCACGCCCCCUUCUUAAAAUUAAUGGAUAAUUAACAAGGGUAUUCUAAAGAAUUAACACACCAAACAAGGAGAUUACUAACCAAAUUAUUUGCAGCUGCUGGCCAAGAGUUGCAGGGUUGGUUUCUCCAUUUCCAUGGCUGCCUAAGACAAGUGGUGAAGAAGAAGAUGAUAUGCAGCAAUGCAUUUCACCACUUUAUAUAGCAUGGAGUGGAUUUCUCCACCUCAUUUAAUAGUAUGAAGUGGAGGCAGCCCCCCUCUACACCUGUCCACUAAGGCCAGCCCACAAUCUGAUCCCUUUUUAAUUUUUUUGCCUUGAGUGGUGGGGCCCAUUGAAUUAAAUCAGUCCAAAUUAGCCACUAAUUAAUCCCUCACUUAAAUUUAAUGGCACUUACAUUAGCCAACUCAUACUUAAUAUCACAUUUGGAAAUAACAUCCUUGCCUAAUAUUUCUUUACGUCUUCUAGAUCACGAUGCGCACUACGUAUAUAAAAAAAAUACGAGGCAUAACAUCCUUCCCCCCUUAGGAACAUUCGUCCUCGAAUGUUAAGUUAGCGUCUUGCAAAAACAAAUUCCAGCGAGGUCUCUCUAAAAGUUAUACCUAUCAACCUGCAUUCCGUAACUUACAGAUGCCUCACAGCUACAUAAUCUCAUUAUCUAUCAAUAUAGUCAAGCUAGGAAUUGAAUUACCUGCAGGUACGGGGAACAAGUAAGGAUACUUAUUUUUCAUUUCGUCUUCCGCUUCCCAAGUCAUCUCCUCCCUAUUGUUAUUUUGACACAACACUUUGACGGAAGCCACAUCCUUAGUACGUAACCUUCUAACCUGACGAUCAAGUAUAGCCACGGGUUUCUCCUCAUAUGACAACUCCUCUGUUACCUGAAUAUCAUCUACAGGGAAUACUCUAGAAGGAUCACCAAUACAUUUACGUAGCAUCGAUACAUGGAAGACUGGAUGUACCGCCUCCAAAUCAGAUGGUAGAUCCAACUCAUAGGCAACCUUGCCUAUCCUACGAACAAUCUGAUAAGGCCCAAUGUAUCUCGGACUGAGCUUCCCCUUCCUGCCGAAUCUCAUCACACCCCUCAUGGGUGAUACCUUCAGGAAUACCCAGUCACCAAUCUGAAACUCCAAAUCUCGACGCCGAUUAUCUGCAUAUGACUUCUGUCGACUCUGGGCUGCUAAUAAUCUUUCUUGAAUAAGCUUCACCUUGUCAACAGCUUGCUGAAUCACAUCCGGGCCUAUUAACUUAGUCUCGCCAACAUCAAACCAACCAAUAGGUGAUCUGCACUUCCUCCCAUAUAAGGCCUCGUACGGUGCCAUUUGGAUACUAGAAUGGUAGCUAUUAUUAUAGGCAAACUCAAUGAGCGGCAAGUGGUCAUCCCAGCUACCUUUGAAGUCAAUAAUACAGGCCCGCAACAUAUCUUCUAGUGUCUGAAUAGUACGCUCAGCCUGCCCAUCAGUCUGAGGGUGAAAUGUUGUGCUAAGGUUCACCUGUGUCCCCAAUCCCUUCUGAAACGAUCUCCAAAAGUUGGCUGUAAAUUGAGCUCCUCUGUCUGAUAUAAUGGACGUGGGAACCCCAUGAAGUCUCACUAUCUCCCUGACAUAUAACCUCGCAUAAUCUUCAGCCGAAUAAGUAGUCCUGACUGGAAGAAAAUGGGCCGAUUUCGUCAGCCUAUCUACAAUAACCCAUAUAGAGUCAUACUUCCGUUGAGUGCGAGGUAAGCCUGUAAUGAAGUCCAUAUUAAUCAUCUCCCAUUUCCAAGUCGGGAUCUCUAUCUCCUGUAAUAAUCCACCAGGCUUUUGAUGUUCGAUCUUGACUUGUUGACAAUUUGGGCACUGAGCAACAAACUCUGCUAUGUCCUUUUUCAUGCCAUCCCACCAAUAUAAGCAUCUGAGGUCAUGAUACAUUUUUGUUGACCCUGGGUGAAUAGAAUAACGGGCAGAGUGUGCCUCUCCCAUAACUUGCCGUCGUAGCCCCGCAGUAUCGGGUACACACAAUCUGCCUUCAUAUCGUAACACUCCAUCAGGUGUAACCUUAAAUGGGGUCUUUUCCUUUUGAAGAGCUGCAUCUCUAUACUGUGCCAGAAUAGGGUCCUUGUAUUGGUGUCUCUUUACCUCAUCUAUGAUUGAGGACUCAGCAACCUCUCGAAUAGAAACUCCACUAUCUUCCGAAUUAGCUAGACGGACUCCAAGGCUGGAUAGCCGCUGAAUCUCCCGAACCAUAUCCCUCCCUUCUGGUUGUACAUCUGUCAAGCUACCCAUGGACUUACGGCUAAGAGCAUCUGCUACAACAUUCGCUUUCCCUGGAUGAUAUAAAAUAUCAACAUCAUAAUCCUUUAGCAACUCUAACCACCGCCUCUGUCGUAAGUUCAGCUCCUUCUGUUUAAAGAUAUAUUGGAGACUCUUAUGAUCUGUAUAGAUGUCCACAUGGACACCAUAUAAAUAAUGUCUCCAUAUCUUCAAGGCAUGAACCACGACCGCUAACUCCAGAUCGUGAGUAGGAUAGUUCUUUUCAUGCUUCCUAAGUUGUCGGGAGGCAUAGGCUAUAACUUUGCCAUGCUGCAUCAAUACACAUCCUAGCCCAACACCCGAAGCAUCACAAUAAAUAACAUAGCCGUCUGGUCCCUCUGGAAGAGUUAGGACUGGAGCUGUAGUCAAUUUGUCUUUUAAUAGCUGGAAGCUUCGCUCACAAGCAUCUGUCCACUGGAACUUGGCUGCCUUUUGAGUUAGCCUUGUCAAAGGCACUGAAAUUGAGGCAAACUUUUCUACGAAUCUCCUGUAAUAUCCUGCUAACCCCAAAAAGCUGCGUACCUCAGUAGGUGUCGUAGGUCUGGGCCAAGUCUUUACUGCCUCAAUCUUCUGCGUAUCUACCCGAAUACCAUCAGCUCCAAUAAUAUGCCCCAAGAAUGCCACUGAAGUCAACCAGAACUCGCACUUAGAAAAUUUAGCAUACAACUUCUGGUGCUGAAGCACCCUAAGUACCGUCCUUAAAUGAUCUGCAUGCUCCUCUUCUGAACGUGAAUAGACCAGAAUAUCGUCUAUAAAUACAAUAACAAACAUAUCAAGGAAUGGUUUAAAUACUCGAUUCAUUAAAUCCAUGAAUACCGCUGGAGCAUUAGUCAGCCCAAAAGACAGCACUCUAAACUCAUAAUGCCCAUAUCGGGUCCGGAAUGCUGUCUUUGGAAUAUCUGCCUCCCUUACCCGCACCUGAUGAUAACCUGACCGCAAGUCUAUCUUUGAAAAACACUUUGCACCCUGCAACUGGUCAAAUAGAUCGUCAAUCCUUGGGAGGGGAUACCUGUUCUUUAUUGUUACUUUGUUCAACUGCCUAUAAUCAAUGCACAUCCGCAGCGACCCAUCCUUCUUCCUCACAAACAGUACUGGUGCUCCCCAAGGUGACGUACUAGGCCUGAUGAAGCCCUUUUCUAGCAAAUCCCUCAAUUGCUCUUUCAAUUCUUUCAACUCAGCAGGUGCCAUUCUAUAAGGAGGUAUAGAUAUAGGCUGGGUAUCUGGCAGUACAUCUAUAGUAAACUCUAUCUCCCGUUCUGGAGGAAGGCCUGGAAGUUCCUCGGGGAAUACAUCAGGAAAUUCAUUAACUACCGGGACUGAUUGAAGAGUCGGUGCCUCUGCCUUUAUGUCAUGCACCCGAAUCAGAUGGUAAAUAUAGCCUUUUCUAACCAUCUUCCCGGCCUUGAGGUAUGAAAUGAACUUACCUUUCGGCGAUACUGUACUUCCCUUCCACUCUAUAAUCGGUUCCCCUGGAAAUUGAAAUCGAACUAUCUUUCCUCUGCAAUCAACAUUAGCAUAACAAGCAGCCAACCAAUCCAUGCCCAUGAUAAUAUCAAACUCAAUCAUAUUUAACUCUAUUAGAUCUGCUACGGUAUGACGACUAUAUAUAGCUACUGAACAAUUCCUAUAUACUCGCGUAGCUAUGACAAAAUCUCCUACAGGUGUAGCUACCUCAAAUGGUUCUAUCAACUCAGACUCUAUUCCGAUCCUACUAGCAACAAAGGGAGAUAUAUAUGAUAAGGUGGAACCUGGGUCUAUCAAUGCAUACACACUUCGGGAGAAUAGUGAUAAUAUACCUGUGAUCACAUUAGGUGACGCCUCUUGAUCUUGCCUAUUAGUCAAAGCAUAUAUACGGUUUGAGGGACCGCUAGAACUGGAAGCUCCACCACGUCCUCUACCACGGCCUGCUGGUGCCUGAAUACCCUGCCCCGUAGGGCGCAUAGCCACAGAAGAAGAUGAACCAGCAACGGACCCUGUAGGCUGUGCCAUACCACCUGCACUACCUCUAAGGUGACACUCCCUCAUAGUAUGGCCCUGACGGCCGCAAGAAAAACACGCACCUGUAGCCCAACGACAUUCCCCAGGAUGGGACUUACCACAACGAGAACACCGAGGCAAAGGUGGCCUCGACUGGCUCAAACCCCUGCCCAUCUGUGACCCUGACGCCCUAGAGCUCUGACCAGGUUCCGAAUAUCCCAUACGAUCGAACCCCCUACCCAUGAAACGUGGGGGUGCACUCUGUGCUGGCUGGGAAGAAAAUCUAACAUGCUGCUGAGACUGCCCGCUUUGAAACUCGUCAGGAUAACCUGCUGAUCUAGCCCUCUUAUGCUGGCCUCUAUUAUAAUCUCUAUCUGGCUGACGUCCCCGGUGCCGAUCCUCUACCCCCUGUGCAUAUGCCUGCACCCGAGCAAUGUCCAUACCUGGCUGAAGAGUCACUGCCAUACAACCGUCAAUCAGAUAACGAUCCAAUCCCAUCACAUAACGAUGUACCCUAUCUGCCAUAUCAGCCACAAUAGUAGGCGCAUGCCUAGCCAAUGAAUCAAACUCGAGGCUAUACUCUCGAACGCUCCUGCCAUUUUGCUUCAAACGCAAGAAUUUAUCGACUCUAGCUCGCUUCAUCUCUGGAGGCAGGAAGUGGCCCUGGAAAGCCUCCACAAAUUCAUCCCAUACCGCUGGAGGGGCACCCUCACCCCUAGAUAACUCCCAAGACUCAUACCAAUUAAUAGCUACAUCCCGCAAACGAUACGUAGCCAACUCAACAGACUCGGUCUCCGAAGCCUUGAUUAUCCUCAAUGUACGCUGCAUCUGACGAAUAAACUCUUGCGGAUCAUCCUGUGGCCUUGACCCAAAGAACUCUGGAGGAUUACAACUUAAGAAGUCACGAGCCCUUAAGCUAUCAGAUCUGUCCGCAUGAUCAACUCCUAGUCCAUGCCUGCGAGCCUGAUCUGCCACUAAUCUAGUCAGCAAUUGAACCGCAUCUCUCAUGGCCCUAUCCUCCGCCCCUGACUGAGGAGCUGGAGGUUCAGAUGUUGGGGCCUCGGGGGCUGGUGGUGUCCCCCGAACUGGAGCUGCUGCUGCUCUAAGCUCUUCUGGCGGUGGGGGUGUAGCAGAGCUCUCCGACUGGAGCAUAAUACCAGGCAUAGACUGGGCACGGGCCCUAGUAACUCUUCGGGUCUGACUAGUACCUUCUGCUACCGAUUUUCCCUUCUGGGCGGCUGUCGCUUUCUUUGGAGGCAUAGCUGAAAACACAUGGAUUCGUUAGAGAGGGAUUAUCCUGUUAAUAUAGCUCUAUCGCACGAUCUAGAAUAAGAAGAAAGAAUGACAUCAUAAAUGUCCUGUAGCUUCCUGUUUAUAGAUGUGGUGCACAACACACCGAUAAACAAGACUCUACUAGACACGGUCUGUAGACACUUCCGAGGAAGAACCGCUCUGAUACCACUCUUUGUCACGACCCAACCCGAUAGGCCGUGAUUAGUGCCCGUUUUGGACACCCACAUACAAACCUGCUAAGUAUGACCAACUGAAACUAAGACAAUAUGGAAUUUAAUCAAAUCAAGCCAACCCCAACGUCAUAUAUAUAUAUAAGAGGACCUGUCUCAUAAGGAGUCAUAACCAUUCAACCAUAACAGCAUACGCGAGCCGACAAGGCCGCCACUAUUCAAAGCAUAAUGAUGUACACAGCCGACAAGGCUGCCCCUGUACAAGCGGACAUCCCAAACAAACCAUGUCCAGACCAUUAUCCAAAACAUAUAUAUACAACCCACAUAAUGUCCACAGACCUCUAAGAGUACAUUAGUGAAACUCGACGGGACAGGGCCCCGCCAUACCCAUAGACGAGCAAAAGACUACACAAAAGUUAUGUACCAAAACGAAUGGGCUCCGGAACAGUGGAGCUCUCCCAAUCAGCAGAGUAGAUAUCCUAGGCGGGAGGAUCACCGAACUGCGCGUCUACACCUGCGGGCAUGAAACGCAGCCCCCCGAGGAAAGGGGGGUCAGUACGGACAAUGUACUGAGUAUGUAAAGCAUAAGGUAAAGAUGACAGGAUACCAAUGUGGCAACUCGAAAAAAAAUAUCGCUACACAUAUACUUUUAAAGUGAAAAUCAUGCAUAUAUUUAACAUUUAAGGUGCCCAGCUUCCCUAGUAAGGGGCUCGGCAAAAUAAUCAUCACGUCAUCUCCGUCAUCAUCAUCAUCAUAACCAUCCUCAUCACCAAUCAUAUAUAUAAUAUACAUACCCGGCCCUCUAGUGAGGAACUCGGUGACAUAUGCAAGAAACUCCGCACGAACAUUACCCGGCCCGGGACUCGGUGAAAUGAUAAAUGACUCUAUGCACGAGCAGAAUAUUAUGAGCAACCAUAUGCAAUUAAAAUCAUUUCUUAUAACUCAAUAGAACAAUCAACGUGAACCAGCAAGGAGUAUUACCAAAGAUUAAUGUUUUAUCAAGAUUAUGAACCUUUAAUACGAUAUGAAAACGUAAAAUUUCAAUGACUCUAAGAAGCAUUACCAUAGAUAUUAGAGAUCAUCAUAGCCUUAGACAUAACCGAUAUAUAGAGGAAUAAUUGUGGAAGCAAGAAUAUACAUCACCUAGACGCUUUAGAGGUAAGUAUCAAAUCUGUCCGUUAUUCGCUUAUUUUUAAAAGUCAUGCCAAACAAAGAAAGAAGGGACAGCGUUACAUACCGUAUAAUCGAGCCGCACGUCCAAUAUUUACUGCUCAAGCUAUUAAUCUAUAACAAGCAACAAUCGUGCCGCAAUUAGAUAAACAUCGUGCUUUACUUUCUUGUAAGCUAGCUAAUAAUCUAACGAAAAUUCGGCAGCACCUCCCCUAUUUUCCUUACUUCGUCCCAAUCCGACAACAAUCCAAAUUAUCCACAACAAUACCAAUAACACAUAUAACCCAAAGAAUCAUAUUAAACAGCCCCCUCCCCAAAACAGUUCCAUCUCGGCAACUAUAUCAGCGAAGCAACGACACACCGAGUGAUAACUCGUUUUAUAAUUCGUAACACAUCUACCUUAUCGUAUUCAUCCUUUGGAGUAUAUACUCAUAAUCACAUUCAACAUAUACAUAAUGCCAAAACAUAAUUUUCCUGCAGUUUGCUUUAAUCAAAACAGCCCAAGCACCAACACGACACCACUAAUAAUCCGAUUAUGGUUUCCAUUCAUACUUAGUACAUUCAAUAACUAAAACAAACUUCCUAAGCUACUGGUCACGCCCCCUUCUUAAAAUUAAUGGAUAAUUAACAAGGGUAUUCUAAAGAAUUAACACACCAAACAAGGAGAUUACUAACCAAAUUAUUUGCAGCUGCUGGCCAAGAGUUGCAGGGUUGGUUUCUCCAUUUCCAUGGCUGCCUAAGACAAGUGGUGAAGAAGAAGAUGAUAUGCAGCAAUGCAUUUCACCACUUUAUAUAGCAUGGAGUGGAUUUCUCCACCUCAUUUAAUAGUAUGAAGUGGAGGCAGCCCCCCUCUACACCUGUCCACUAAGGCCAGCCCACAAUCUGAUCCCUUUUUAAUUUUUUUGCCUUGAGUGGUGGGGCCCAUUGAAUUAAAUCAGUCCAAAUUAGCCACUAAUUAAUCCCUCACUUAAAUUUAAUGGCACUUACAUUAUCCAACUCAUACUUAAUAUCACAUUUGGAAAUAACAUCCUUGCCUAAUAUUUCUUUACGUCUUCUAGAUCACGAUGCGCACUACGUAUAUAAAUAAAAUACGAGGCAUAACAGGAAGUGCCCGUCGGCUAACCUUGGACCGUAAGUCGAGGUCUCAUAGGUCAAGACUGCAACUUAUCAAUGAAAUUUUACUUGAUUAAUUUAAUUAAUUUACGUAUGUAGGGCUAUUUAGGGGUUAAGGGUUGAUUAUUUAUAUUUGUUAAGAAACUAUACACUACCCUAAGCCUAAACCCAACUUAACAUUUCAUAAUACCUAUACCCAAAUUGCUCUUCCUUCUCUCUACUUUCUCUCUACCAAACAAGAAUCCAUAGAAUACCAAGGUAUAUGGGUUCUAGGGCCAAAAGAAGGUCAUUUUUCUCCAUCAAUAUUCAAAUAAUAUUAACGUAUGAGAACCUUUUCCAUUUGGGAUUCCUUUCAACAAAGGGUUGAUCAGAAAUUGAUUUUCAAAAAGAUGAUUUCAUAUGGGUUUUUUCCUAAUAUGAAUAUCGUCUAAAUUGUAUUUUUAUGGUUUCUUUUUAUUAUUAUGAUUAGAUUAUGAUGUACUAUUUUUUCAAUUACAUUUUUUAUUGAUGAAUUAACCUAUUAUGUGGAAUAGAUCAUGAAUUUACUAAAAUUCCCCUUACCCUAGGUGAUGAACUCAUGUGGUGCAAUUGAGUUAGUUAUUGUGUUAAUUACUGUUGUAUGAUUUUGUUAGUCCAAUUGAUGGAUUAAAUUGUAUCGGUUGAGGGUAAGACCAUUAAAGAUGGCCUUUGAAGGAGAAAUUGGUAAGACUUCAUGAUCUUGAACUUUUACUUAAAUUGUGAUGGCUUUGACUUUGUGAUGUAGUUCAAUUGAAGCAUGCCUUGUAAUUUAAUUAGUUAGUGUUAGUUUGAUGAUGAUAUUAAAAUGUCUUGAUUAUGUGAUUGUGAGAUAAUGCUUAUGAUGUAAUGAUAUAAGUGUCACGACCCAUCCCGAUAGGCUGGGACUAGUGCCCGUUUUGGACACUCACAUACAAACCUGCUAAUUAUAACCAACUGAAACUACGACUAUAUGGAAUUUAAUCAAAUCAAGACAACCCCAACGCCAUAUAUAUAUAUAUAUAUAUAUAUAAUGGGCAUGUCUCAUAAGGAGUCAUAACCAUUCAACUGUAACAACAUACACGAGCCAAAAAGGCCACCACUAUCCAAAGCAUAAUAGCAUACGCAAGCCGACAAGGCUGCCCCUACACAAUACAUAAUGAUGUACGCACCCGACAAGGCUGCCCAUGUACAAGCGGACAUCCCAAACAAACCAUGUCUAUACCAUUAUCCAAAACAUAUAUAUACAACCCACAUAAUGUCUACAGACCUCUAAGAGCAUAGUAGUGAAACUCGACGGGACAGGGCCCCCGCCAUACCCAUGGACAAGCAAAAGACUACACAAAAAGUUACGUACCAAAACGACUAGUCUCCAGAACAGGAAAGCUCUCCCAAUCAGCAGAGCAGAUAUCCUAGGUAGGAGGAUCACCGAAUUGUGCGUCUACACCUAGAGGCAUGAAACGCAGCCCCCUUGAGGAAACGGGAGUCAGUACGGACAAUGUACUAAGUAUGUAAAGCAGAAUGUAAAGAUGAUAGGAUACCAAUAUGGUAAGUUGAAACAAAAUACCGCUACACAUGUACCCUUUUAAGUGAAAAUCAUGCAUAUCUUUAACAUAUAAGGUGCACAGCUUCCCUAGUAAGGGGCUCGACAAAAUAAUCAUCACACAUCUCUGUCAUCAUCAUCAUCAUAACCAUCCUCAUCAUCAAUCAUAUAUAUAAUAUACAUACCCGGCCCUCUAUUGAGGGACUCAGUGACAUAUGCAAGAAACUCCGCAUGAACAUUACCCAUCCCGGGAUUCGGUGAAAUGAUAAAUGACUCUAUGCACGAGCAAAAUAUUAUGAGCAACCAUAUGCAAUUAAAAUCAUUUCUUAUAACUCAACAGAACAAUCAAUGUGAACCAGCAAGGAGUAUUACCAAAGAAUAACGUUUUAUGAAGAUUAUGAACCUUUAAUAAGAUAUGGAAACGUAAAAUCUCAAUGACUCUAAGAAGUACUACCAUAGAUAUGAGAAAUCAUUAAGCCUUAGACAUAGCCGAUAUAUAGAAGAAUAGUUGUGGUAGCAAGAAUAUACGUCACCUAGACGCUCUAGAAGUAAGUAUCAAACCUGUCCGUUAUUGGCUCAUUUUUAAAAGUCAUGCCAAACAAAGAAAGAAGAGGUAGCGUUACAUACCGUAUAGUCGAGUCGCACGUCCAAUAUUUACUUCUCAAGCUAUUAAUCUAUAACAAGCAUAAAUCGUGCCGCAAUUAGAUAAAUGUCGCGCUUUACUACCUAUUGUAAGCUAGUUAAUAAUCUAACAAAAAUCCGGUAGCACUUCCCCUAAUUUCCUUACUUCGUCCCAAUCCGACAACAACCCAAAUUAUCCACAGUAAUACCAACAACACAUAUAACCCAAUGAAUCAUAUUAAACAGCCCCCUCCCCCAAAACAGUUCCGUCUCGGCAACCAUAGUAAUGAAGCAACAACACACUGAGCGAUAACUCCUUUUAUAAUUCCCAACACAUCUACCUUAUCGUAUUCAUCCUUUAGAGUAUAUACCCAUAAUAACAUUUAACAUAUACAUAACGCCAAAACAGAAUUUCUCGCAGUUUGCUUUAAUCAAAACAGCCCAAGCACUAACACGACACCACUAAUAAUCCGGUUAUGGUUUCCGUUCAUACUUAUCAUAUUCAAUAACUAAAACAAACAUCCUAAGAUACUGGUCAGGCCCCAUUCUUAACAUUAAUGGCUAAUUAACAAAGGCAUUCUAAGGAAUUAACACACCAAGCAAAGAGAUUACUAACCAAAUUCUUUUUAGUUGCUGGCCAAGAGCUGCAUGGUUGGUUUUCUCCAUUUCCAUGGCUGCCUAAGCCAAGAGGUGAAGAAGAUGAUAUGUUGCAUUGCAUUUUACCACCUCAUUUAUAAUAUGAAGUGGAGGCAGCCCUACUCUACACGUGUCCCACUAAGGACAGCUCCCAAUUUGAUCCCUUUUAAUUUGACUUGAGUGGUGGGGCCCACUAGAUUAAUUUAAUCCUAAUCAACCACUAAUUAAUCCCUCACUUAAAGUUAAUGACACUAAUAUUAGCCAAAUCAUACUUAAUAACUCAUUUGGAAUAAACAUCCUUGCCUAAUAUUUCUUUAAUCACUUGGAACAUAAAAUAAAUUCUUAUUCUCCGGACUUACAUCUAAUAGUUCAUGACGCGCAUUACAUAUAAAAAUACGAGGCAUACCAUCCUUCCCCCGUUAGUAAUAUUCGCCCUAGAAUGUUAAGUUAGCAUCUUACAAAAAAAAAAGUUCCAACGAGGUCUCUCUAACAGUUAUACCUAUCAACAUGCAUUCCGUAACUUACAGAUGCCUCACAGAGUCACAACUUACUACAUAACGUUGUUUAUCAAUUAAUAUAGUCAAGCUUGGAAUUGAAUUACCUGCAGGUAGGGGGAACAAGUAAGGAUACUUAUUCUUCAUUUCGUCUUCCGCUUCCCUCGUCCCUAUUAUUAUUUUGCCACAACACUUUGACGGAAGCCACAUCCUAAGUACGUAACCUUUUUAACUUGACGAUCAAGUAUAGCUAAGGGUUUCUCCUCAUAUGACAACUCCUCUAUUACCUGAACAUCAUCUAUAGGGAAUACUCUAGAAGGAUCAUCAAUAUAUUUACGUAGCAUCUAUAUAUGGAAGACGGAUGUACCACCUCCAAUUCAGAUGGUACAUCCAACUCAUAGGUAACCUUGCCUAUCAUAUCAACAAUCUGAUAAGGCCUAAUGUAUCUCGGGCUGAGCUUCCCCUUCCUGCCGAAUCUCAUCACACCCUUCAUGGGUGAUACCUUCAGGAAUACCCAGUCACCAAUCUGAAACUCCAAAUCUCGACGCUGAUUAUCUGCAUAUGACUUCUGUCGAAUCUUGACUGCUAAUAAUCUUUCUUGAAUAAGCUUCACCUUGGAAACAGCUUGCGAAAUCAUAUCCGGGCCUAUUAACUUAGUCUCGCCAACAUCAAACCAACCAAUAGGUGACCUUCACUUCCUCCCAUAUAAGGCCUCGUACGGUGCCAUCUAGAUACUAGAAUGGUAGUUGCUAUUAUAAGCAAACUCAAUGAGCAGCAAGUGGUCAUCCCAGCUACCUUUAAAGUCAAUAAUACAUGCCUGCAACAUAUCUUUGAAUGUCUGAAUAGUAUGCUCAGCCUACCCAUCAGUCUGAGGGUGAAAUGUUGUGCUAAGGUUCACCUGUGUCCCCAAUCCCUUCUGAAACGAUCUCCAAAAGAUGGCUGUAAAUUGAGCUCCUCUGUCUGAUAUAAUGGACGUGGGAACCCCCAUGAAGUCUCACUAUCUCCCUGACAUACAACCUAGCAUAAUCUUCAUCCGAAUAAGUAGUCGUGACUAGAAGAAAAUUGGUCGAUUUUGUCAGCCUAUCUACAAUAACCCAUAUAGAGUCAUACUUCCAUUGAGUGCGAGGUCAUCCUGUAAUGAAGUCCAUAUUAAUCAUCUCCCAUUUCAAAGUCGGGAUCUCUAUCUCCUGUAAUAAUCCGCUAGGCUUUUGAUGUUUGAUCUUGACUUGUUGAUAAUUCGGGCACUGAGCAACAAACUCUGCUAUAUCCUUUUUCAUGCCAUCCCACCAGUAUAAGCAUAUGAGGUCAUGAUACAUUUUCGUUGACAUUGGGUGAAUAGAAUAACGGGCAGAGUGUGCCUCUCCCAUAACUUGCCGUCGUACCCUCGCAAUAUCGGGUACACACAAUCUGCCUUCAUAUUGUAACACUCCGUCAGGUGUAACCUUAAAUGGGGUCUUUUCCUUUUUAAGAGUUGCAUAUCUAUACUGUGAAAGAAUAGGGUCCUCGUAUUGGUGUCUCUUUACCUCAUCUAUGAUUGAGGACUCAGCAACCUCUCGAAUAGAAACUCCACUAUCUUCUGAAUUAGCUAGACGAACUCCAAGGCUGGAUAGCCGCUGAAUCUCCCGAACCAUCUCCCUCCUUUAUGGUUGUACAUCUGUCAAGGUACCCAUGGACUUACGGCUAAGAGCAUCAGCUACAACAUUCGCUUUCCCUAGAUGAUAUAAAAUAUCAACAUAGUAAUCCUUUAGCAACUCUAACCACCGCCUCUGUCGUAAGUUCAACUCCUUCUAUUUAAAGAUAUAUUGGAGACUCUUAUGAUCUGUAUAGAUGUCCACAUGGACACCAUAUAAAUAAUGCCUGCAUAUUUUCAAGGAAUGAACCACGACUGCUAACUCCAGAUCGUGAGUAGGAUAAUUCUUUUCAUGCUUCCUAAGCUGUCAGGAGGCAUAGGCUAUAACUUUGCCAUGCUGCAUCAAUACACAUCCUAGACCAACAACCGAAGCAUCACAAUAAAUAACAUAGCCGUCUGGUCCCUCCGGAAGAGUUAGGAUUGGAGCUGUAGUCAAUUUGUCUUUCAAUAGUUGGAAGCUUCGCUCACAAGCAUCAGUCCACUAGAACUUGGCUGCCUUUUGAGUUAGCCUUGUCAAAGGUGCUGAAAUUGAGGAAAACUUUUGUACGAAUCUCCUGUAAUAUCCUGCUAACCCCAUAAAGUUGCGUACCUCAGUAGGUAUCGUAGCUCUGGGCCAAGUAUUUACCGCCUCAAUCUUCGCGUGUCUACCCGAAUACCAUCAGCUCCAAUAAUAUGCCCCAAGAAUUCCACUGAAGUCAACCAUAACUCUCACUUUGAAAACUUAGCAUACAACUUCUGGUGCUGAAACAACCUAAGUACUGUCCAUAAAUGGUCUUCAUGCUCCUCUUCUGAACGUGAAUAGACUAGAAUAUUGUCUACAAAUACAAUAACAAACAUAUCAAGGUAUGGUUUAAAUACUCAAUUCAUUAAAUCCAUAAACACCGCUGGAGCAUUAGUCUUCUCAAAAGACAGCACUCUAAACUCAUAAUGCCCGUAUCGAGUCCGGAAUGCCGUCUUUGGAAUGUCUGCCUUCCUUACCCGCACCUGAUGAUAACCUGACCGCAAGUCUAUCUUUGAAAAACACAUAGCACUCUGCAACUGGUCAAAUAGAUCAUCAAUCCUUGGCAGGGGAUACCUUUUCUUUACUGUUACUUUGUUCAGCUGCCUAUAAUCAAUACACAUCCGCAGUGACCCAUCCAUCUUCUUCACAAAUAGUACCGGUGCUCUCCAAGGUGACGUGCUAGGCCUAAUGAAGUCGUUUUCUAGAAGAUCCCUCAAUUGCUCUUUCAAUUCUUUCAACUAAGCAGGUGCCAUUCUAUAAGGAGGUAUAGAUAUAGGCUGGGUAUCUGGCAGUACAUCUAGAGUAAACUCUAUCUCUCAUUCUGGAGAAAGGCCUGGAAGUUCCUCUGUGAAUACAUCAGGAAAUUCAUUAACUACCCAGACUGAUUGAAGAGUCGGUGCCUCUUCCUUUAUGUCAUGCACCCGAACAAGAUGAUAAAUAUAGCCUUUUCUAACCAUCUUCCCGGCCUUAAGGUAUGAAAUGAACUUACCUUUUGGCGAUACUGUACUCACCUUCCACUCUAUAAUCGGUUCCCCUUGAAAUUGAAAUUGAACUAUCUUUCCUCUGCAAUCAACAUUAGCAUAACAAGCAGCCAACCAAUCCAUGCCCAUGAUAAUAUCAAACUCAAUCAUACUUACUCUAUUAGAUCUGAUACGGUACGACGAAUAUAUAUAAUGACUGAACAAUUCUUAUAUACUCGCGUAGCUAUGACAAAAUCUCCUACAUGUGUAGCUACCUCAAACGGUUCUAUCAACUCAGACUCUACUGCGAUCCUACUAGCAACGAAGGGAGAUAUAAAUGAUAAGGUGGAACCUGGGUCAAUCAAUGCAUACACACUUCGGGAGAAUAGUGAUAAUAUACUUGUGAUCACAUUAGGUGAUGCCUCCUGAUCCUGCUUACUAGUCAAAGCAUAUAUACGGUUCGAGGGACCGCUAGAACUGGAAGCUCCACCACAUUCUCUACCACGACUUGCUGGCUCCUGAAUACCCUGCCUCGUAGGGCGCAUAGCCACAAAAGAAGAUGAACCAUCAACGGACCCAGUAGGCUGUGCCAUACCACCUGCACUACCUCUAAGGUGACACUUCCUCAUAGUAUGACCAUGAAGGCCGCAAGAAAAACACGCACAUGUAUCCCAAUGACAUUUCCCAGGUUGGGACCUACCACAGCGAGAACACCGAGGCAAAGGUGGCCUCAACUUGCUCAAACCCCUACCCAUCUGUGACCCUGACUCCCUAGAGCUCUGACCAGCUUCCAAAUAUCCUGUACGAUAGAACCCCAUACCCAUGAAACGUGGGGGUGCAGUCUAUGCUGGAUGGGAAGAAAAUCUAACAUGUUGUUGAGACUGCCCGCCUCGAAACUCGUCAGGAUAACCUGCUGAUCUAGCCCUCUUAUGCAGGCCUCUAUUAUAAUCUCUAUCUGACUGACGUCCCCGGUGACGAUCCUCUACUCCCUGUGCAUAUGCCUGCACCCGAGCAAUGUCCAUACCUGGCUGAAGAGUCACUGCCAUACAACUGUCAAUUAGAUAACGAUCCAAUCCCAUCACAUAACGAUGUAACCUAUAUGCCAUAUCAGCCACAAUAGUAGGCACAUGCCUAGCCAAUGAAUCAAACUCAAGGCUAUACUCUCGAAUGCUCCUGUCAUUCUGCCUCAAACGCAAGAAUCUAUCGACUCUAGCUCGCUUCAUCUC